CAGGAGGCUGUACCCAGGGGUGGCACGGAGUGUCCGGGUCGCUUCUCCGGAACCUGGGAUAGGUGGAUCUAGAAGGAACGUCGCGGAGCUUGGCGGGAGUCAGAAGACACACCCUCCCCUGUCUGCUCGGGAGAGACACACGAGCUGCUUCCUGAGGAGAGGAGAGGAGAGGAGACGGCUAUAAAUCAACCAAAAGAGACCAGAGAACUCAUCUGGCUGAGGAAGGGAACGAGGUGGCUGUUGGAAGGAGGUGAACACCAGGAGACAUGGCCUCCAGUUCACACCCUGCCUAGCAGCAGCUCCUCCUCCCAGCCUGGCCCGACAGGAUGUCCCGCUAGACAGCCAUGGACGGAGCCCACAGCGCAGGCCUGCAGCUGCAGCCUCUCUCACCCACCAGCGGAGCCACCUCCCCGAGCCUGAGCAGCGGUGAGGGCUCCUUCUCCUACAAGGAAAACUUGAUCGGCGCGCUCUUGGCCAUUUUCGGGCACCUUGUGGUCAGCAUCGCCCUUAACCUGCAGAAAUACUGCCACAUCCGCCUGGCAGGCUCCAAGGACCCCCGGGCCUACUUCAAGACCAAGACAUGGU
rnacentral:lncRNA from 1 species